UAUCUCUGUAGAGUCUGCAUAUCAAUAAGCGGAGGAAAAGAAACUAACAAGGAUUCCCUUAGUAACGGCGAGUGAAGCGGGAAGAGCUCAAAUUUGAAAUCUUCAAGGUUCUACCUUGACGAAUUGUAGUUUAAAGAAGUGUUUUCUGUUAGAUGAGUAGCAAAAGUUCCUUGGAAUGGGACAUCAUAGAGGGUGAGAAUCCCGUAUUUGGUUAUUCAUUCUAGCUUUGUGAUACACUUUCAAAGAGUCGGAUUGUUUGGGAAUGCAGUCCAAAAUGGGUGGUAAAUUUCAUCUAAAGCUAAAUAUUGGCGAGAGGCCGAUAGCGAACAAGUACCGUGAGGGAAAGAUGAAAAGAACUUUGAAAGAGAGUUAAACAGUACGUGAAAUUGUCAAAAGGGAAGCGUUUGACACCAGUGUUGGUCUUUCCGAAAAUCAAUUACGAAUGGCUUGAUUUUGUGUUGUAUUGACCUUAUCAGCUUUCUUCACUUUUUUCGAGUCUUUCUUAAUGCACUUUUCGGUUAACAAGUCAACAUCAAUUUCUUUUGUUGUAAAAGAGUAUUCGGAAGGUGGCUUUCUUUUCGGAGAAAGUGUUUAUAACCUAUACUUCUACAAUCGGAGAGAUUGAGGUCUGCAGCGUAGAUCCUUCGGGGUUAGAUACACUUGUGCUAAGUUGUAGCUUUUCAUAGACAACUUGUUGACUAUGUUUAGUCAUGCGGCUUACUCGCUUGUGCUAUUUUACCUACGCUUAGGAUGUUGAACUACUGAGACAUAGA
rnacentral:rRNA from 1 species